AGGACAGAGGGGAGAACAGUGUUGUUAGUUAGCAUAAAGGAAGGGCUGUUUUCUUUACAGGCUAACCAAACUGUUGUAAACUACCAGCUGACAAGAUGGCAGCUGCUUUUGUAGUGUGGGAGUACUGAUAAUGGGAUUUUCCCAGCAGCUUCUGUGAGAAAAUGAAGAAAACAUUAGUCUUUAGAUCUCAACAGUGCUGAUAUUUCUCUAUAUAGCUUUUGUUGUUCUUCCUCCAAGAAACCCAACAUGUUUAGAAGGAAGGGGGAGGAAACAAAGUGGAGGUCUUGACCCCUCAGUAUUUACAUUUAGCCACACAUGAUUCCCACUCCCUGUUCAACAACAGGGUUGUCUGUGUAACAUAAAUGCAUCACCCCAUAAACCUCCCAUCCCUCUCUGACAAUGUGAGGGUCACAUACUUUUAUAUUUCCAGGGCCCUCAUUUUCCAUGCUGUUGGUGGACCAGAGCUGACCUGAACCAACAGGCGAACAGGGCUGUGCGUGAUUGAAGCCAGGGGACAAUAAAGCAGCUGAACAGGAGCAGCAGAGGGAAGCCGACACCAAGGGAAGAGCAGCGGAGAGGCGCCAAGGGCGACAAGCCACAUCGCAACCGUCCGAGAGGGAUGAAGGAAAGGCACACGUACCAGAGACCGCAAGUGUUACGACGUGAUUCACACGCAGCGGCAGGGAAAAGUCCCUGCCUGCCGUGUAAGUACCGAGAGAGAAAGUAGUAGCACUUGGCGGACACGAGCUAAGCUGACGCUGUUGUUGUACGAGGCUGAAUCCCAAACCGCCCCCUACACACUCCCCCUCCACUACCGAGUGUCACUCCAAAAGAAGUCACACUCGCAGCUGUGGAGGGCACCUAUUAUUGAAGGGGGAGGGUAUAAAUACGAUCGUCAGGAAUGGGAUGCCCUGUCGCCUCACCGGAAAAACGGAAGACGUCAUCGCCAUGGUAACACAAAGACGCCUACUGUGCAUGGCUGUAGCGCUAUGGCACAGGUUGCAACUAACAAGGAUCGCUGCUGCUUCCAGAAGACAAAAGCAUCCCACUUUUUUCACUCACAUGUUUUCCAGUCCUAUUAUCUGGAAUUUCAAAUCCAACAAAUGAAUAAAUGAAUUCUGUCAGUUGUGUUCAAAUUUUAAGGUGUCAGGGGGUGCACAAUUAAAUCAAACGUCAGCAGAGAAGAAGAUUUAUUUCUUUUGAUUUAUCUUUUUGCACCACUCUUUGUGAUGUUCUGUCAGUGUGAAAAAGGCGUGGGAGAAAUAAAGGACGCAUGUGGAACUCACAUCAAUAUGUUUGUUUCCUCCUCCAUUUCGACGUUGCACUUCCUGAAAAAGUUGUCCAGAGUGAGCAUCGAUGCAGACUCGCUAUUUAAGGGCUGAACAGUCCACUCCCCCUCCGCACUACGCAGUUUGGGACGGCCCUUAAUAUGGAGGACCCUCCGCGGGAACGUGCAAACGGAGGGGUAGUGUGUAGUGAUGGGACGAUGAUACCUCAAGGAGUGUAUUGACACACUAAACAAACUGUGUCGGCACUGUAUUGAUACUGUGUUGGUCACCCAAUAGUGACGCCUGCAGUAGUUAUAAAAUCAUUGCAGGUAAAGAAAUUCCUUGUUCGUGUAAAUGCUAAAACUGAGUUGGUAUGUAAAAUAUAGCAAAUUGGAGUAAAAAAUCGGAGUUACAAUUUUUUAACUUAUGUGCACAUUUGUCAACUUAACUGUUAAAUCAUAUGAAAUAAAAGACAAAAAAGUGA